GUGCAGGGAGCGCCGCCAUCUUGGGCCAGCCCGAGGAAGAUCCUGAGGGAGCCGCAGGAGCAGCCGCCGCCGCCACCGCGACUGCCACCCGAGUGUCUGCAACCUCCGGCCAGCCCGCCUACCUGCCAGGGCCUCGGCUGACGGAUUCCGGCCUCCCUCCCGCCGCGUCCGCCCUCCGCUUCCUCGUCCUGACGUCCCCCUCCCGUCCGGAAAGCUGCCCAGCCACCAGCAACCCCCCAGGUAACCAAGGCCUUCCGCAGGGGCCGCCGGAGCCAGCCUCCCAGCCCGGCCCUUCCAAGGGGCGGAGGCGAGCCGAGAGGUAGGCGGGCGGCGUCCCGGGCUGGGCCCCGCAGGCCGCGGCCAGCCCGGGGGUCGGCGGAGGGCGCCGGCCUGACAGGACUCCGCGGGGCGAGCUGUCGCCCGCGCCGUCCCGGGCGGCUCGCGCUCCCUGCCCGCAGCCGGGCUCCGAGGCGUGCAGGGAGGGUGUGUUCCCACCUCAUCCGUCCGACCUGCGGGGCACAGCCGCGGCCUCCGCAGGCCCGAGUCUCGCCGCCUUUGCCCGCGGCUGUAGAACACCCCCGCAGUGUUGCCCCACGCGUGGCGCGCCGGCCUGCCACCCACGAGCCCCCAGCCGUGGCAGUCCCACCCUACAGGGCCUCAACAAAAGGCAGCGCUUCGGCGUCUCGGGCUGGCUCCCGUGUCCUUGUAAGCCACCGCUCUGUCGUCCCGGCUGAGGAUUGGGCGUGUGGGACUGUGCGCGAGGUUCUCCGAAUCCCUGUAAAGUCCCUGGCCAGCCUGCACUGGUUGGAACCUAGACAGCAUCUAGAAAGAACGAAGGGAAAAAGUUUGGGCAUCUCGAGAAUUUGAGAAAAGACGAUGGAACGGGAACGCUAAAACUCCAGUGUGUGCCAGACACGGGUUUAGGUGUCUUCACACAUAGCUUGCUUGCUUCGAGUGCCUUUUGAGAGUUUUCCGCAUUUUUUUAAUAAGGGGCGAGGGACGGACCGAAGCCAGAAGUUGUCCUGUAGCUGAGUAAUGAUGGAACACAAAUGAUGGCUUCUCCCUAUCCUGGCUGGUAUGUUUUGUACUACAGUACAUUCCACGAGGGCUGAGAUACACAAUACUGGAUCGGUUCAGAGAGGAGACAACUGAAUUCCAUUUUCUCUCCAUUCACACUGGGUGAGAACUGAUAAGACCCAAAAUCUAUCAUGUCAGCUGCUACUCUGGCAAAUGCUCCUUGGAGGAGAGGUGGUGGUAGCAUGUCCUCCGUAUUUGUGAAGAAAGCUAUGUUCUUGGUGGCUGCACAGCCAAGUAUGGAAAUUCUUGGAAAGUUUACUGGUCAUGACAUGUUGUUUCAAUUACCUUUUAUGUAAAUGUGAUUGUUGAGUACAAAUUUGACCCAUUAAUAAUGCAGCUUCCUCUUUUCCCUUCCCUGCAGCAGGCGAUUAUCUCGGGAAUUCAGUGUAACUAGGAAAUGGCAGAACCCAAGGCACAAAACCUUAGCCUACACGCUUUCGUGCAUGGUCAAGUAAAAUCGCCCAAACCAUACCUACAUGUUAGUUACUGAAUUGAUCCUAACCAAGUUAGCUAACCUCCCAGACUCAGUGUCCUUAUAAAUUGUGCCCACAUUUCAGGGUCAUUUUAAGGAUUAACUAGAAUUAAAGAAAGCUCAGGUUUGACAUGCAAGUUGCCUGUAGUUUUGCUAGCCAUAUAAUGGGUGUUUAAUAUCUGUUGGACAAGUACUGUCGAAGUAGACUCUGGCUUAAUCUUACCUGCCCAUUUAGUAGUAUAUAACCAUCAGUAAAUCACUUCUGACCCGGUUUCCUAACUUGUAAAAUGAAUUUUUAGGGUUAGAAAUUGUUUAUAAAGUAGCUAGUUUAUAUUAGGGGCUCAGUAAGUGGAGUUAUUGUAAAGGUGUAAAAACCUUAGAUUAUAAUUGCUAUUGAAAAUUCCUUGGAAUUAAGGCUUUUUAAAAAAAUUUGCUUUAUAUUUUUCAUGUUAAAUUGUAUAUUUGUAAACUUAAGCUUUGCAACAGAGCUUGAAAAUUUCUUGCAGCCAGGUUUUAUAGGUCUUAUUUGCAUACUCUUAGCAAGACUUGUAAGAUAAAAAUGUUCAAACUAUAGCUCUCGAGGUGUUUAUGACAUUAAAAACGUUAGCAAUGUGGGCCUGGCAAGAUGGCUCAGUAGGUAAAGUCUUUUGCUGCCACGCUGACAACCAGACUUAGAUUCUGGAACCCACCCAGAAGGAGGAGAGAAAGGAUUCAUGCUAGUUAUUCUCUCUAAUAUCUACAUGUGUGCCACAUGUGCACACAUACAGUCAUACACAAGUAUUUUAAAAGUAUGCAGGAGACAAAUUAUUAUUAAUAUUAAGUUAUACUAUAUUUCAAACUUUUUAAAGUUUGCAAAAUAAAGCAUCAGUAUAGUGAGCAUUAAUACUGUAUUACUGAUCAGUGUCUGCAGUGAACAGUCUUGGUCUAUCUCUACACUGCUCCUACCAAACUCACCUGGGUCUGAGACAAGUCAUUAGUAAGCUUUUACUAAUUCUUUCAAGUGCAGGUACCAUUGUUUUGUUGUUGUUGUUGUUAAAUACUUUUAUGGAAAUCAGAAAACAGAUUUGGGAGUACUUCAUUUCUUAUUCAUAGCACACUAUCAUUAGUGGGAAGGUUUUGUCUUUCUCUGUGGACAUUGUUAAGCAGUCUGGUAUUUUAAAUUUUUUAUUACAUUAAUUUACACAAAAGUGUAAUCUUAAGUGAGUUAUGAAAAGUUGGUUUCAGAAAUGGGCAGGUUAUUUUCCAAGGUUGUAUUUCUAUUAUGGAAAGAAAAUUGACCAUUUGGAUUAGAUUGAUUAUUCGAUUAAUUAUAGAAGUUUCCUGUCCACCUGACUAACAUGUGGCAUAGAAUUCCAGUUCAGGGGCCUCUAAGCAAGGAUGCACCCAUUCUUGAGUUCCAUGAAGGUAGAGACAAUGUUACUCCCUUUUUGAUUAUUGUUAAAACCUUUCAACAUUGUUUGUGAUUAGUAGAUGUGGGGUAUUUUUAUGUUGUUGGUGUUUAAUCACAAAAGUAGUCUGGUCUCCAGUGUUUAUAACAAAAUACAUAAAAACCCUAAAACUGAAGAGCAGUAUUAAGACUUUAGGCCACCAGGAGUACUUAGUGUGUUGCUUUCCUCUUGUUAUUGUAAAGAUUGCCUAGUAAUCUAAGGAAUAGACUACAGUAGCUGUAAACAGUGAAUGACAGUGUAUAAAUAAACACAUAGGAGUUAAAAUAUAAGCCUGAGAAAAUGCCUGUUAGUAGGAGCUUUGUUUUUUACUCUGAGGCCUCUACCAGCACCUUUAGAACUAGUCAUUUGGGACUGGAGAGAUGGCUCUGUGGAUAAAAAUCUGCUCUUGUAGGUGCCCCAGGUUUGAUUCUCAGUACGCACGUGGUGGCUCACGACCAUCCAUAACUCCAGAUUUUUUUCUUUCUUUUUGGUUUUUUUCGAGACAGGGUUUCUCUGUGUAGCCCUGGCUGUCCUGGAACUCACUCUGUAGAUCAGGCUGGCCUCGAACUCAGAAAUCCUCCUGCCUCUGCCUCCCAAGUGCUGGGAUUAAAGGCGUGCGCCACCACGCCCAGCCAUAACUCCAGAUUUAAGGGGCCUGACAGGAGUAUGUACUAUACAUGUAGGCAAAAUGUUCUCAUAAAAUACAUUUUGUUUAAAUUAAAACUCAUUUAUAUAACCUUAUUCAGUAAGAGAUCUGAUUUUGUUUGACAUGACAAUGACUAGCAUGCAAUAUAUGUUUCAUAACCAUUUAAUAUAGAUGUUUUGACUCAGGAAUAUGUCCGUGAUUUCAUUAAGUGUUGCAUGUUUUAUAUAAUUGCUAUGUUCCAUCUUUAAGUAAAGCUUAUUUAUAUACCUCCUUAACAUAGGUACAUUUCAUACUAAGGUAAAGUUGAAAACCCCUUUGUUAAAGCAACAUUAAGGAUACUUAAUAUUUAAAACUGGCCACCUGAUUACAUAGUGCAACAAUUAUCAGUGCUUAAAGGCACUUUGUGAAGGUUUCUUUUGGUAGCCAAGGACAUUUAUGUGUCCACCUUGCAUGUCUUCAAUAAUUAGUUAAGUAGAGAGCAUUAUGCUCUUUGGUGUCAGGCCUCUGAGCUUAAGUUCUAGGUUGUCCAUUUACUAACUUUAGAACGUUGGCCAAUGUAGUGAAUUUCACCAAAUCUCAAGUUCUUCAAUUUUUGCAUGAAAAUAAUAGCUUUACAGAGUUGUAGGAAUUAAGAAUUAGUAUAAGUCACACAGAUCAUUGAAUGAUUUAUUCUCAAAUUUUCCUUAUUGUUACUAUGGAUAAAUAAUAAUAAAUCAACAUUACCAAUUAUUUAUAUUUC
rnacentral:lncRNA from 1 species